GUUCGGUCCAAUUUGGACGCCCAUUUAGGAGGUGCCAAACAGACCCCAUCAUUGAUUUGAGAUCUUGAUAAGGUGAAUACCCAGUCUAUUCAAUGGUAGGCAUAAUGAGUAUAAGGUCCUCAAAAAAAUCUCUUUUCGACAUAUGAAUUUUAAGGUGUAUAAAGUUUCAUUUUUGAUUUUUUCAGCAGAACGAUAGAGACUUCAUUUAACUUAGGUUGAUCUAGGCCAGAAACAGACCUACGUCAAGAUAAUCCCACCUUUGAAACACUUUGGUAAUGAUCCCAA
rnacentral:lncRNA from 1 species